CCGCUGCUCGCCCGCUGCCAGCGGAGAACGAGUUGUGCCGUUCCCUCGUUGUCUGUUCGGUGGCAGCGG
ensembl:miRNA gga-mir-1772 gga-mir-1772